UAUUUAUAGAGGUACAACAUUUGUGGUCGAACCAGGUCAGAAUCGGAAGAUAGCAGCCUUAAGAUCCUCCAAAUGUGUGUACCUUUUUUGUAGGUGAUA
rnacentral:SRP_RNA from 1 species